GUUGUACAGGAGGGGGUUCACCACUGAGCUGAUGUAGAAGAAGAUGUCGGCGAUGGGAAGAAGGAUGAUGUAUGCUCUGAAGUAGGGGACAGUCCAGUCCUGCUUUGGUUUAGCAGCAGCCAUGAGCCUUCUAACCUGAUUUGGCAUCCAGCAUAUUGCCAGAGUUGCAACAAUCAGUCCUGUGAACAGAAGGAGGAAGAAAGAGAUAUAAAUACGUGUUGCUGCAUCACUAAUGGCAUUAAAAAAGGGGUGACUUAAGUGCUGGAUGUCUGAAAAUUCUGCCUCUGCGGACCAGCGUGCACUCGGUUGCAGCAGUGACGCCACCUGCAGAGCGGCAGCCCAGAAGAAACGUAAGGGCUGAACUUGAGCAGGCUCUGUUCCCAGGCGGGAGACAGGGCAGGGGGAAGGUGCGCAUAAGCGCUGGAAAUCUUGACAUCGUGCAUGAAAUACCAGGAAACGUGCCUUACAUGAACACUUAGAGGGAGCAGAAGGUGCAGGCUGGCUUCCCGGCUGCAGAGGCACAAAACUGUAGAGUACCCUGAUGGUGCACGGGUCUCACCUCCCGCAGAGUUCUGUUAAUUGUGAGUCUCCUCCAACGUCCAGCCUCCUUUCUCAGCCGAAGCACAGAAGCUUUUUAAUUCUUACCUGUCUAGACUGAGUCAGAUUGCUCCCAUUGAGCAGAUCGCUGCAGGGACGCAAUUCUGACACAGUGCACACUGAUUUUUUUCAAGCCAGGAAAAUGGUACUGCGCUAGCGGGAGGACAGGAAUGGUAACUGAGGCAGAAAAGAGAAGAAAGGUUGUUUUUUUUUUUGUAACUUUGAAACUGCCAGGGCUUAGAGAGGGUGUGUCCACGUUCUCUCCACCACCACCACCCCAGCAAAGGUAUGAAAUAUCUUUUUUCUUUUUUUUACAGAAAUUAAUUUUGUUAAUGAAAGCUAUAAUUACAUUAACAAAUUUAUGAUCUCACUAAAUGAGCUACCAAAUAAACGUCUUUUUGAUCAUUUG